AUUAAGUUUAAUUUAAUAUAGGAUCUGCUCAAUGAUUUAUUAAAUAGCUGCAGUAUUUUGACUGUGCAAAGGUAGCAUAAUAAUUAGUCUUUUAAUUGAGGACUUGUAUGAAAGAUUUGAUGAAAAAUAAACUUUAUUAUUUAUAUAAUUAAAAUUUUAUUUUUAAGUAAAAAAGCUUAAAUUAUUUAAAGGGACGAUAAGACCCUAUAAAACUUUAUAAAUAUUAGUUUUAAUUUUUUUGGGUUUAUAAAUAUUUUAAUUUUAUUAUUUAUUUUAUUGGGGUGAUAAAAAAAAUUAUUUAACUUUUUUUAAAAUUUUACAUAAUUUAAUGAAUAUUUGAAUUAAAAAUUUUAAUUAUAGGAAAAAGUUACUUUAGGGAUAACAGCGUAAUUAAUUUUUUAAGUUCAAAUUUGAAAAUUAGUUUGCGACCUCGAUGUUGAAUUAAGAUUAAUCUUAGGUGCAAAAUUUUAAGUAUUAGGUCUGUUCGACCUUUAAAUUCUUACGUGA
rnacentral:rRNA from 1 species